GAUGAACGCUGGCGGCGUGCCUAAUACAUGCAAGUCGAGCGAACGGACGAGAAGCUUGCUUCUCUGAUGUUAGCGGCGGACGGGUGAGUAACACGUGGAUAACCUACCUAUAAGACUGGGAUAACUUCGGGAAACCGGAGCUAAUACCGGAUGAUAUUUUGAACCGCAUGGUUCAAAAGUGAAAGACGGUCUCGCUGUCACUUAUAGAUGGAUCCGCGCUGCAUUAGCUAGUUGGUAAGGUAACGGCUUACCAAGGCAACGAUGCAUAGCCGACCUGAGAGGGUGAUCGGCCACACUGGAACUGAGACACGGUCCAGACUCCUACGGGAGGCAGCAGUAGGGAAUCUUCCGCAAUGGGCGAAAGCCUGACGGAGCAACGCCGCGUGAGUGAUGAAGGUCUUCGGAUCGUAAAACUCUGUUAUUAGGGAAGAACAUAUGUGUAAGUAACUGUGCACAUCUUGACGGUACCUAAUCAGAAAGCCACGGCUAACUACGUG
rnacentral:rRNA from 1 species